UACAGAGGUCUCAAGCGUUGUUCGGAUUCAUUGGGCGGAAAGGGUGCGUAGGUGGCGAGGCAAGUCAGAUGUGAAAUCCCGGGGCUCAACCCCGGAACUGCAUUUGAAACUGCCUUGCUCGAGUACUGGAGAGGAGACUGGAAUUUACGGUGUAGCAGUGAAAUGCGUAGAUAUCGUAAGGAAGACCAGUGGCGAAGGCGAGUCUCUGGACAGUUACUGACACUGAGGCACGAAGGCCAGGGGAGCAAACGGG
rnacentral:rRNA from 1 species